CCCUCUCUCUAUCUCGCUCUCAAACAUUCCAGCAAUAAGCAUUGUUCAUCGACUUCAAAGAUUAGAUCUCUGUGACCUACAACUUCAUAUUGGGCCUGGGAGAUGCUCUAGUGGUGGCUGCUUAAGCGUGUCAUAUGGAAUUGGUUCUGAAAUCUGGCUUCACCUGGUCUGUUUGAAGGUUGGAGAUGAAGUUUUCCUCAAAAGCAUUCUAAACUCUACUGAGACUGUAGCAAGAGGAAGGGUCCAGAGCUUGGACCCAAAUGAUCUAGUUGGUGGUACAGAGAUUGGACCAGAAUGGUGUGAGGUAAACGUCCAAGUACCAUUAAAAAGAUGAAAACUUGGUAAGACCAUAUGGUUUAUUUUUUAUAAUUCAAGAUUGCAUUGGUGCAUCUAUCGCAUGGCCCUAUCCAUUCAUCUCGGUAGUCCAUGAGGAUUGAGGACGCAUGAUGACUCAAGAUUUUGUGCUUCUUAUUUUUUUAAUUGCUU
rnacentral:lncRNA from 1 species